rnacentral:rRNA from 1 species
GAUGAACGCUGGCGGCGUGCCUAAUACAUGCAAGUCGAGCGAACGGACGAGAAGCUUGCUUCUCUGAUGUUAGCGGCGGACGGGUGAGUAACACGUGGAUAACCUACCUAUAAGACUGGGAUAACUUCGGGAAACCGGAGCUAAUACCGGAUAAUAUUUUGAACCGCAUGGUUCAAAAGUGAAAGACGGUCUUGCUGUCACUUAUAGAUGGAUCCGCGCUGCAUUAGCUAGUUGGUAAGGUAACGGCUUACCAAGGCAACGAUGCAUAGCCGACCUGAGAGGGUGAUCGGCCACACUGGAACUGAGACACGGUCCAGACUCCUACGGGAGGCAGCAGUAGGGAAUCUUCCGCAAUGGGCGAAAGCCUGACGGAGCAACGCCGCGUGAGUGAUGAAGGUCUUCGGAUCGUAAAACUCUGUUAUUAGGGAAGAACAUAUGUGUAAGUAACUGUGCACAUCUUGACGGUACCUAAUCAGAAAGCCACGGCUAACUACGUGCCAGCAGCCGCGGUAAUACGUAGGUGGCAAGCGUUAUCCGGAAUUAUUGGGCGUAAAGCGCGCGUAGGCGGUUUUUUAAGUCUGAUGUGAAAGUCCACGGCUCAACCGUGGAGGGUCAUUGGAAACUGGAAAACUUGAGUGCAGAAGAGGAAAGUGGAAUUCCAUGUGUAGCGGUGAAAUGCGCAGAGAUAUGGAGGAACACCAGUGGCGAAGGCGACUUUCUGGUCUGUAACUGACGCUGAUGUGCGAAAGCGUGGGGAUCAAACAGGAUUAGAUACCCUGGUAGUCCACGCCGUAAACGAUGAGUGCUAAGUGUUAGGGGGUUUCCGCCCCUUAGUGCUGCAGCUAACGCAUUAAGCACUCCGCCUGGGGAGUACGACCGCAAGGUUGAAACUCAAAGGAAUUGACGGGGACCCGCACAAGCGGUGGAGCAUGUGGUUUAAUUCGAAGCAACGCGAAGAACCUUACCAAAUCUUGACAUCCUUUGACAACUCCAGAGAUAGAGCCUUCCCCUUCGGGGGACAAAGUGACAGGUGGUGCAUGGUUGUCGUCAGCUCGUGUCGUGAGAUGUUGGGUUAAGUCCCGCAACGAGCGCAACCCUUAAGCUUAGUUGCCAUCAUUAAGUUGGGCACUCUAAGUUGACUGCCGGUGACAAACCGGAGGAAGGUGGGGAUGACGUCAAAUCAUCAUGCCCCUUAUGAUUUGGGCUACACACGUGCUACAAUGGACAAUACAAAGGGCAGCGAAACCGCGAGGUCAGGCAAAUCCCAUAAAGUUGUUCUCAGUUCGGAUUGUAGUCUGCAACUCGACUACAUGAAGCUGGAAUCGCUAGUAAUCGUAGAUCAGCAUGCUACGGUGAAUACGUUCCCGGGUCU